CGUUCCUUAGCUCAGUUGGGAGAGCGUCAGCCUAGCAUGCGGAAGACGCUGGUUCGAAUCCAGUAGGAUGGA